rnacentral:rRNA from 1 species
UAAUGGCUCACCAAGGCGACGACGGGUAGCCGGCCUGAGAGGGCGACCGGCCACACUGGGACUGAGACACGGCCCAGACUCCUACGGGAGGCAGCAGUGGGGAAUAUUGCACAAUGGGCGAAAGCCUGAUGCAGCGACGCCGCGUGAGGGAUGACGGCCUUCGGGUUGUAAACCUCUUUCAGCAGGGACGAAGCGAAAGUGACGGUACCUGCAGAAGAAGCGCCGGCUAACUACGUGCCAGCAGCCGCGGUAAUACGUAGGGCGCAAGCGUUGUCCGGAAUUAUUGGGCGUAAAGAGCUCGUAGGCGGUCUGUCACGUCCGAUGUGAAAGCCCGGGGCUUAACCCCGGGUCUGCAUUCGAUACGGGCAGACUAGAGUGUGGUAGGGGAGAUCGGAAUUCCUGGUGUAGCGGUGAAAUGCGCAGAUAUCAGGAGGAACACCGGUGGCGAAGGCGGAUCUCUGGGCCAUUACUGACGCUGAGGAGCGAAAGCGUGGGGAGCGAACAGGAUUAGAUACCCUGGUAGUCCACGCCGUA